rnacentral:rRNA from 1 species
GUUGACCUCGGAUCAGGUAGGGAUACCCGCUGAACUUAAGCAUAUCAAUAAGCGGAGGAAAAGAAACCAACAGGGAUUGCCCUAGUAACGGCGAGUGAAGCGGCAACAGCUCAAAUUUGAAAUCUGGCGCAAGCCCGAGUUGUAAUUUGUAGAGGAUGCUUCUAGGUAGCGACCGGUCUAAGUUCCUUGGAACAGGACGUCAUAGAGGGUGAGAAUCCCGUAUGUGACCGGCCCGCACCUUCUACGUAGCUCCUUCGACGAGUCGAGUUGUUUGGGAAUGCAGCUCUAAAUGGGAGGUAAAUUUCUUCUAAAGCUAAAUACCGGCCAGAGACCGAUAGCGCACAAGUAGAGUGAUCGAAAGAUGAAAAGCACUUUGGAAAGAGAGUUAAAAAGCACGUGAAAUUGUUGAAAGGGAAGCGCUCACAACCAGACUUCUGGGCGGUGUUCCGCCGGUCUUCUGACCGGUCUACUCACCGUCCCGAGGCCAACAUCAUCUGGGACCGCCGGAUAAGACCUUAGGAAUGUAGCUCCCCUCGGGGAGUGUUAUAGCCUGUGGUGAUGCGGCGCGUCUCGGGUGAGGUCCGCGCUUCGGCAAGGAUGUUGGCGUAAUGGUUGUCAGCGGC